AUUAUCACUAAUCAAGCCCGGCUUGCUGUUGGACCUCUUGUCGUUAAAAGACAGGCCCCAAAGAUAAUGACGGUGUUAUUAGAACCCUAGAUGCAACGAGCUUUGGCUAGCACGCAUGAUAGUGGCCUUUUAACCCGGUCUUUUUUAACCAAUUUAUCAAGGUUGACCUCGGAUCAGGUAGGAAUACCCGCUGAACUUAG
rnacentral:misc_RNA from 1 species